UUAAGCGACUAAGCGUACACGGUGGAUGCCCUGGCAGUCAGAGGCGAUGAAGGACGUGCUAAUCUGCGAAAAGCGUCGGUAAGGUGAUAUGAACCGUUACAGCCGGCGAUGUCCGAAUGGGGAAACCCAGUGUGAUUCGUCACACUAUCGUUAACUGAAUACAUAGGUUAACGAGGCGAACCGGGGAACUGAAACAUCUAAGUACCCCGAGGAAAAGAAAUCAACCGAGAUUCCCCCAGUAGCGGCGAGCGAACGGGGAGCAGCCCAGAGUCUGAAUCAGCUUGUGUGUUAGUGGAACGGUCUGGAAAGUCCGACGGUACAGGGUGAUAGUCCCGUACACCAAAAUGCACAGGCUGUGAACUCGAAGAGUAGGGCGGGACACGUGGUAUCCUGUCUGAAUAUGGGGGGACCAUCCUCCAAGGCUAAAUACUCCUGACUGACCGAUAGUGAACCAGUACCGUGAGGGAAAGGCGAAAAGAACCCCGGCGAGGGGAGUGAAAAAGAACCUGAAACCGUGUACGUACAAGCAGUGGGAGCACCUUCGGGUGUGACUGCGUACCUUUUGUAUAAUGGGUCAGCGACUUAUAUUCUGUAGCAAGGUUAACCGUAUAGGGGAGCCGCAGGGAAACCGAGUCUUAACUGGGCGUUAAGUUGCAGGGUAUAGACCCGAAACCCGGUGAUCUAGCCAUGGGCAGGUUGAAGGUUGGGUAACACUAACUGGAGGACCGAACCGACUAAUGUUGAAAAAUUAGCGGAUGACUUGUGGCUGGGGGUGAAAGGCCAAUCAAACCGGGAGAUAGCUGGUUCUCCCCGAAAGCUAUUUAGGUAGCGCCUCGUGAACUCAUCUUCGGGGUAGAGCACUGUUUCGGCUAGGGGGUCAUCCCGACUUACCAACCCGAUGCAAACUACGAAUACCGAAGAAUGUUAUCACGGGAGACACACGGCGGGUGCUAACGUCCGUCGUGAAGAGGGAAACAACCCAGACCGCCAGCUAAGGUCCCAAAGUCAUGGUUAAGUGGGAAACGAUGUGGGAAGGCACAGACAGCCAGGAUGUUGGCUUAGAAGCAGCCAUCAUUUAAAGAAAGCGUAAUAGCUCACUGGUCGAGUCGGCCUGCGCGGAAGAUGUAACGGGGCUAAACCAUGCACCGAAGCUGCGGCAGCGACACUAUGUGUUGUUGGGUAGGGGAGCGUUCUGUAAGCCUGCGAAGGUGUGCUGUGAGGCAUGCUGGAGGUAUCAGAAGUGCGAAUGCUGACAUAAGUAACGAUAAAGCGGGUGAAAAGCCCGCUCGCCGGAAGACCAAGGGUUCCUGUCCAACGUUAAUCGGGGCAGGGUGAGUCGACCCCUAAGGCGAGGCCGAAAGGCGUAGUCGAUGGGAAACAGGUUAAUAUUCCUGUACUUGGUGUUACUGCGAAGGGGGACGGAGAAGGCUAUGUUAGCCGGGCGACGGUUGUCCCGGUUUAAGCAUGUAGGCUGGUUAUCCAGGCAAAUCCGGAUAAUCAAGGCUGAGGUGUGAUGACGAGGCACUACGGUGCUGAAGUAACAAAUGCCCUGCUUCCAGGAAAAGCCUCUAAGCAUCAGGUAACAUCAAAUCGUACCCCAAACCGACACAGGUGGUCAGGUAGAGAAUACCAAGGCGCUUGAGAGAACUCGGGUGAAGGAACUAGGCAAAAUGGUGCCGUAACUUCGGGAGAAGGCACGCUGGUGUGUAGGUGAAGCCCCUGCGGGUGGAGCUGAGACCAGUCGAAGAUACCAGCUGGCUGCAACUGUUUAUUAAAAACACAGCACUGUGCAAACACGAAAGUGGACGUAUACGGUGUGACGCCUGCCCGGUGCCGGAAGGUUAAUUGAUGGGGUUAUCCGUAAGGAGAAGCUCUUGAUCGAAGCCCCGGUAAACGGCGGCCGUAACUAUAACGGUCCUAAGGUAGCGAAAUUCCUUGUCGGGUAAGUUCCGACCUGCACGAAUGGCGUAAUGAUGGCCAGGCUGUCUCCACCCGAGACUCAGUGAAAUUGAACUCGCUGUGAAGAUGCAGUGUACCCGCGGCAAGACGGAAAGACCCCGUGAACCUUUACUAUAGCUUGACACUGAACAUUGAGCCUUGAUGUGUAGGAUAGGUGGGAGGCUUUGAAGCGUGGACGCCAGUCUGCGUGGAGCCAACCUUGAAAUACCACCCUUUAAUGUUUGAUGUUCUAACGUUGGCCCCUUACCGGGGUUGCGGACAGUGUCUGGUGGGUAGUUUGACUGGGGCGGUCUCCUCCCAAAGCGUAACGGAGGAGCACGAAGGUUAGCUAAUCCUGGUCGGACAUCAGGAGGUUAGUGCAAUGGCAUAAGCUAGCUUGACUGCGAGCGUGACGGCGCGAGCAGGUGCGAAAGCAGGUCAUAGUGAUCCGGUGGUUCUGAAUGGAAGGGCCAUCGCUCAACGGAUAAAAGGUACUCCGGGGAUAACAGGCUGAUACCGCCCAAGAGUUCAUAUCGACGGCGGUGUUUGGCACCUCGAUGUCGGCUCAUCACAUCCUGGGGCUGAAGUAGGUCCCAAGGGUAUGGCUGUUCGCCAUUUAAAGUGGUACGCGAGCUGGGUUUAGAACGUCGUGAGACAGUUCGGUCCCUAUCUGCCGUGGGCGCUGGAGAAUUGAGGGGGGCUGCUCCUAGUACGAGAGGACCGGAGUGGACGCAUCACUGGUGUUCGGGUUGUCAUGCCAAUGGCACUGCCCGGUAGCUAAAUGCGGAAGAGAUAAGUGCUGAAAGCAUCUAAGCACGAAACUUGCCCCGAGAUGAGUUCUCCCUGAGACUUUAAGUCUCCUGAAGGAACGUUAAAGACGAUGACGUUGAUAGGCCGGGUGUGUAAGCGCAGCGAUGCGUUGAGCUAACCGGUACUAAUGAACCGUGAGGCUUAACCUU
rnacentral:rRNA from 1 species